AGUAAUAGGUUGAAAAAGUAUAGAUACCAUGUUAUCAAGCUGUGCCACCUUAUGCCCAAUGUGAUUACCUGCCAGCUUCAAAGAUACAUGAACUUAUGGCGUUAUGGAACACGUAUUGAUUGGCGUUAUAUUACAAGCAUACCAAGAGAUUUGGUAUUGGCUCUUUACACUAUCCAUCCAUUCACCAUCACAAACUAGUUAAUCAAGGUACUGGGGCCAUGUGUAUGCACUACUUGGCAUUUGCAUUUUAAUACAGUCACUGGAGUUGGACUGCAAAUCUUUAUUUGAAUUUGAAUAUGUGGCUUUUCUGUGUGAACUAUUGAAAAUUUUAUUGUGUUAUUUUACUCCAAAU